rnacentral:rRNA from 1 species
UACGUAGGGGGCAAGCGUUGUCCGGACUCAUUGGGCGUAAAGAGCGUGUAGGCGGUCCGGUAAGUCGGCUGUGAAAGCCCCGGGCUCAACCUGGGAAUGGCAAUGGAAACUGGCGGGCUAGAGUGUGGCAGAGGGGGGUGGAAUUCCGCGUGUAGCAGUGAAAUGCGUAGAGAUGCGGAGGAACACCGAUGGCGAAGGCAGCCCCCUGGGCUAGCACUGACGCUCAGGCACGAAAGCGUGGGGAGCAAACAGG